rfam:Bacillus azotoformans LMG 9581 contig38, whole genome shotgun sequence.
GAGCUAAGAUCAAAGACUAAGAACGCCACGUCCUGUGGCAACGUCUUUGUGACCCACAUCCUGUGGG